UUCAAUGAUGAAAAUUUGGAAUAGGAAGUGCCGUCAGAUGCGAAAACUGACGAUUUUUUUCUCAUCCAUUUUUCUGAGU
rnacentral:snoRNA from 1 species